rnacentral:rRNA from 2 species
UACGAAGGGGGCUAGCGUUGUUCGGAAUUACUGGGCGUAAAGCGCGCGCAGGCGGUUCUUCAAGUCAGAGGUGAAAGCCCAGAGCUCAACUCUGGAAUGGCCUUUGAGACUAGAGAACUAGGGUACGGGAGAGGUGAGUGGAAUUCCGAGUGUAGAGGUGAAAUUCGUAGAUAUUCGGAAGAACACCAGUGGCGAAGGCGGCUCACUGGCCCGUUACCGACGCUCAGGCGCGACAGCGUGGGGAGCAAAC